UCGAAGUGCAAAUUCGGAGGAGCACCCCCAAAGGGUGCCGGGGCUUCUCCCGUUU
rnacentral:tRNA from 1 species